GAUGAACGCUAGCGGCAGGCCUAACACAUGCAAGUCGAGGGGCAGCACAGAAACAGCAAUGUUUUGGUGGCGACCGGCGGACGGGUGCGUAACGCGUAUGCAACCUACCUUUAACAGGGGGAUAACGGAGAGAAAUUUCCACUAAUACCCCAUAACAUCGAUCAAGGCAUCUUGAUUGGUUGAAAACUCCGGUGGUUAAAGAUGGGCAUGCGUUGUAUUAGGUAGUUGGUGAGGUAAUGGCUCACCAAGCCUACGAUACAUAGGGGGACUGGGAGGUUAGCCCCCCACACUGGUACUGAGACACGGACCAGACUCCUACGGGAGGCAGCAGUGAGGAAUAUUGGUCAAUGGGGGCAACCCUGAACCAGCCAUGCCGCGUGCAGGAAGACGGCUCUGUGAGUUGUAAACUGCUUUUAAACAGGGAUAAAGCACAGUAUGUAUACUGUGUUGAAGGUACUGUAAGAAUAAGGAUCGGCUAACUCCGUGCCAGCCGCCGCAGUAA
rnacentral:rRNA from 1 species